rnacentral:lncRNA from 1 species
UGAUGCAUUUUUUUGCCAAAGGCAUGUAUAUCUCAGGAUAGACCCAUUAAAAACAAGUACAAGAUUGCAAAUUAGUUGUAUAUAUUUCAUUUCGGUAGCACAUCACAUGAAUUACAAUACGUCAUCCAUCGACUCCUCUACACAUAGAGGUUCAAGGCCCAACAAGUGCACAACAAAAUAGUUCUACAAGUGCAGCAGGUGUACAGCAAAAGGGCCCAACAAGUGCAUAAUCACACAUCAACAUAGUUCGACAAAGAUUGGAUGAGAAGCACAAGUUUUUGUUGAUCACACAUAACAUCAAUGAUAAACGAAGCUUCUUGUUCCCUCCUCCUGUCUUGUCCUCUACUUCUUCUGGGUGCUUUAGAUCAUCCUGGUAAUUCAAAUAAUCAAACAUAAGAAAUCAUACAAAAUAAUCAAAUAUUAUAAUGUACAAGUAAUAAAUAAAUUAGAACUACUAGUCGUCAACCCGUGCAGUCUACUGCACCGGCUAGCUAUUUUAGAAAAAUCAUACAGUACUUGAAGCCACUAUUAGAAUUUGCAAGCUGGUAGAUUUAACAAUAUCAGUCAUAGGGACAAGCUCAAAUAAGCGGCUGUCCCUAGCAUCAUGCCAUGA